AUAGUCUCUUCCUCCUCCCCUUCCCCCUCCUUUUCGCUUGCUCCACACCAGGUGUGGGUCAUCUCGCGGCACUAAUUGCGGGGUGGAGCCGCUAGCCUUUUAACUGCUCCGGUGUGUGUGUUUGCUCAGUGUGCUACCUUGUCUCCCGCGGGGCUGGCGUCCGUGUGUGUGUCGGCGUUCCAUGUGCUUUGAACCGUGUGGCGGUUGGCGUUGCUGAUUUCGCCAGGUCUUCUCCUCUCCGAAAAUUUGAGGCUGUCGGCUGGCUGCGGCUGUGUGGGACUGGAGGUCGUCUACGCUGUUGUUCGCUCUCUCCAGCAGCGUUAACUGCGGCCUGCUGCUCUCCCUCUCCUCCCCGGCGGAGACGCUGUGCCUGUGCUCUGUGCUCUGUGGCACGUUUUGGCCUGGCUGUGCGCUGCGGUGCUCCACUCUCCGGCGGUCAACGCUCUGGUGCACCGGGACUCUACUGCUGUCUUGUUUGGGCUGUCUUGUUUGGGCUUGUCUUGUAUUGCUGUGUAUGCUGCCUUGUCAAUUAGUUCAUCUAUUGUCUUGUAUGCCGCAUGUUUUGCACAGCCGCAUUUAUAUUGUUGGCUCCCACUGUGGCCGCAAUUACGCCACUGUUUGUUUUACCCUGUUUGUUAUCGCCAGUGACUACUAUAAGUGCCGUGCUGUGAUUGGCUGAUCUCCCGCACCAUUGUACGCGGGGACGAACUGCAAUUGGCCCACUUUUGGGUCAGUCCCAGUAAACCCUGAUUUAUUUUAUUUAUUUACUUGGUGUUGUAUAUUAUGAAUAUUGUGUUUUGAGUUUAUUAUAAUUUGCUCUGCUUUAUUUUUGUUUUCUUUCAUAAUGUUUUUGUGUGCUUAUGUUUGGUUUGUGUGAGGUUUAAGUGUGUUUAAUUCAUUGUUUAUUCCUUUGGUUGUUUUGAGUUUUUUUCUUUAUUGUAAUUGCUUUGAUUUCCUAUGCAUACUGGUACUGGUGACCCUAAGUGAUAUUGUUGUAGUGGCCGUAUUACAGUAUUUGAAAAGACCUGUCACUGUUUGUAUUCUACCUUGUUAAUAUUAUAAAAAUAAAUCUA